AGUUAGCAACAGCAAACCUGAAAAUGGAUUAAUGAAAUAUUUAAGACAGGGCAAGCAAGUCCAUUUCCGAAUGAUGGGUGUUUGCAUUUAUCCAGUGGAGCUGCUGUUCAUGGAGACACAGCAGCAUCCCCCGAGAAGGCUGAUAGCCCUGGCUUCCCUUCCCUUCAGGGGCAGGAGAAAGCUGAGCCUCUGGUGCUGUGUUUGACAACACAGACACAGCUUGGAGGUCUUGCGGGCUUGGUUCCAGACCCCUGCAGUAAAGUAAAUAUUAAAUAAAGCAAGUUUUAAAAGAAUCUUUCUUUUUUUUUCUUCCUGAGCAGUAGGUCUCAACAGUGGGCUUAAAGUGUCUAGUAAACCAUGCUGUGGACAGAUGUGCUGUCACCCAGGCAUUUAUAACGCACAAGGCAGAUUAGGUUCAGUACAAUUCUUAAGGGCCCUAAGACUUU
rnacentral:lncRNA from 1 species